rnacentral:rRNA from 1 species
UACGUAGGGACCAAGCGUUGUCCGGAAUCAUUGGGCGUAAAGAGCGUGUAGGCGGCUUGUUAAGUCUUGCGUGAAAUCUCGGGGCUCAACCCCGAGCGGUCGUGAGAAACUGGCAGGCUAGAGUGCGGGAGAGGAGAGUGGAAUUCCUGGUGUAGCGGUGAAAUGCGCAGAUAUCAGGAAGAACACCCGUGGCGAAGGCGGCUCUGUGGAACGCAACUGACGCUGAGACGCGAAAGCGUGGGGAGCAAACAGG